rnacentral:rRNA from 1 species
AUGCAUAGCCGAGUUGAGAGACUUGAUCGGCCACAUUGGGACCUGAGACACGGCCCAAACUCCUACGGGAGGCAGCAGUAGGGAAUUUUCCACAAUGGACGCAAGUCUGAGUGGAGCAACGCCGCGUGAGUGAAGAAGGUUUUCGGAUCGUAAAGCUCUGUUGUUGGUGAAGAAGGAUAGAGGUAGUAACUGGCCUUUAUUUGACGGUAAUCAACCAGAAAGUCCACGGGCUAACUACGUGCCAGCAGCCGCGGUAAAU